rnacentral:rRNA from 1 species
CUUAGAAGCAGCCACUCAUUAAAAGAGUGCGUAAUAGCUCACUGGUCGAGUGACUUUGCGCGGAAAAUUUAACGGGGCUAAAAUACACACCGAAGCUUGGGCUUGAUGCUUUGCAUCAGGGGUAGGGGAGCGUCGUGUAAGGGGCGAAGUCGUAUCGUAAGGGACGGUGGACUUUACACGAGUGAGAAUGCCGGAAUGAGUAGCGAGAAUUAUGUGAGAAUCAUAAUGGUCGAAAGCCUAAGGUUUUUGGAGGAAGGUUCGUCCGCUCCAAGUUAGCCGGGAGCUAAGGUCAGGCGGAAACGCGUAGCCGAUGCACAUACGGUUGAAAUUCCGUAGCCUCAGAAAGAUUUAAGCAGAGGGACACUUUGAAAGGACUGUAGCCGGGUGUUGGUUACCCCGGUCGUAAGGGAACGAAAUUAAGUAGUGAAGGCAGUCUGGACGGAGGCGAGAAAAGCUCUGUGUAUAUCUGAUGAGCCCGUACCGCAAACCGACACAGGUAGGUGGGAUGAGAAUUCUAAGACCAACGGGAGAAGGGUAGUUAAGGAACUCGGCAAAUUGUCCCCGUAACUUCGGAAUAAGGGGAGCCUGCUAACGCAGGCCGCAGAGAAUUGGCCCAGGCGACUGUUUAUCAAAAACACAGCUCUAUGCUAAAUCGAAAGAUGACGUAUAUGGGGUGACACCUGCCCGGUGCUGGAAGGUUAAGAGGAGAUGUGAGAGCAUCGAAUUGAAGCCCCAGUAAACGGCGGCCGUAACUAUAACGGUCCUAAGGUAGCGAAAUUCCUUGUCAGGUAAGUUCUGACCCGCACGAAUGGCGUAAUGAUUUGGGCACUGUCUCAACAGCCCGCCCGGCGAAAUUGUAGUACCGGUGAAGAUGCCGGUUACCCGCGACUAGACGGAAAGACCCCAUGGAGCUUUACUGUAGCUUAAUAUUGGAUUUCGGCAGUUCAUGUACAGGAUAGGUGGGAGACUAUGAAACACGGGCGUCAGCUUGUGCGGAGUCGUCCUUGGGAUACCACUCUUGGAUUGCUGGAAUUCUAACCUGCGGCCCUGAAUCGGGUCGGGGGACAUUGUUAGGUGGGCAGUUUGACUGGGGCGGUCGCCUCCAAAAGAGUAACGGAGGCGCUCAAAGGUUGGCUCAGCAUGGACGGAAACCAUGCUCUUGAGUGUAAACGCAAAAGCCAGCCUAACUGCGAGACUGACGGGUCGAGCAGUAACGAAAGUUGGAGUUAGUGAUCCGGCGGUAUGUGAGUGGAAAUGCCGUCGCUCAACGGAUAAAAGCUACCCUGGGGAUAACAGGCUGAUCUCCCCCAAGCGUCCACAGCGACGGGGAGGUUUGGCACCUCGAUGUCGGCUCGUCACAUCCUGGGGCUGAAUUCGGUCCCAAGGGUUCGGCUGUUCGCCGAUUAAAGUGGCACGCGAGCUGGGUUCAGAACGUCGUGAGACAGUUCGGUCCCUAUCUGUCGUGGGCGUAGGAUAUUUGAAAGGCGCUGUCCCUAGUACGAGAGGACCGGGAUGGACGCACCUCUGGUGCACCAGUUGUCACGCCAGUGGCACAGCUGGGCAGCUAAGUGCGGAUCGGAUAAACGCUGAAAGCAUCUAAGCGUGAAGCCGUCCUUAAGAUAAGAUAUCCCAUGCGUAAGCAGUAAGACCCCUUGUAGACUACGAGGUUGAUAGGUUCAAGGUGUAAGCACGGUAACGUGUUCAGCCAGCGAAUACUAAUCGGUCGAGGGCUUAAACCU